CUACGGGAUGCUGCAGUGAGGAAUAUUGCACAAUGGGCGAAAGCCUGAUGCAGCAACGCCGCGUGGGUGAUGAAGGCCUUCGGGUUGUAAAACCCUUUUCUGGGGGACGAGGAAGGACGGUACCUCAGGAAUAAGCCUCGGCCAACUACGUGCCAGCAGCCGCGGUAAAACGUAGGAGGCGAGCGUUAUUCGGAUUUACUGGGCGUAAAGCGCGUGCAGGCGGUUCUGUAAGUUGGAGGUUAAAUCUCUCGGCUCAACUGAGAGGCGUCCUUCAAAACUGCAGGGCUUGAGGAUGGGAGAGGGAAGUGGAAUUCCCGGUGUAGUGGUGGAAUGCGUAGAUAUCGGGAGGAACACCAGUGGCGAAGGCGGCUUCCUGGCCCAUACCUGACGCUAAGACGCGAAAGCGUGGGGAGCGAACGGGAUUAGAUACCCCGGUAGUC
rnacentral:rRNA from 1 species